GCUCCUCCCGAAUGUCUUUAAUCGAGAGAGGUACAGAAUAGUCGAAGAAAGUAAGCAACUGCGACAAGGUGUGCCUUGGGGUAAUAGUUCCGUGAUAGUGGAAUGCCCUUCUAGCAUUGCCACUUGCUUCAAGCUGCUCUUUCUGUACUCUCUGGUUUAAAUGUAGUUUCGAUUAUAUAUCAUCAAUUAUACCGAGUUUAUCUCUCUUAGUAUUUCAGCUUUCUAUGUAUCAAUUCACAUUUAACAAAUUGUUGGCUUCCAACGUCUUUUAAUAAAUACAUGAUUUUUACCUAACAACAUCUUAUUUAGGAAACAAAAAAUAUUCAUGUAUAUUAUUUAUUUUUUUGGAAAAUUUCUCGAAGUAAAAGCCAAAAAAAAAGUAAUUUAGAUUACCUUAUAGAUUGACAUCGAAGGAUCAAUUAAGUAGAUGGAGAGAAACCAACUUUCCUUCUCCAUUCGUACCAAUACGCCGCUCGAACCCUGAUGGAA